GUGCUCACUUCAUCAGCACAUAUAUUAAAAUUGGAAUUACACAGGGAUUAGCAUAGCCUUUGUGCAAGAAUGACAUGCAAACUUGUGAAGCAUUCCAUAUUUUU